rnacentral:rRNA from 1 species
UACGUAGGGGGCAAGCGUUGUCCGGAAUUAUUGGGCGUAAAGAGCGCGUAGGCGGUCCGAUAAGUCGGCUGUGAAAGUCAGGGGCUCAACCCUUGGAAGCCGGCCGAUACUGUCGGACUAGAGUCCGGAAGAGGCGAGUGGAAUUCCCGGUGUAGCGGUGAAAUGCGCAGAUAUCAGGAGGAACACCAAUGGCGAAGGCAGCUCGCUGGGACGUGACUGACGCUGAGACGCGAAAGCGUGGGGAGCAAACAGG